AUGCAUGUCGGUACGAUCAUGGAGUCGAAUGAUGCGACUUUCUUUGAAGAUAUCUUUCCCAUGAAGGAUAUGGCUACCUCAUCUAAUCAGGAGAUGCCUAGUUCAUCGAAUCAGGAACCAAUUACAAUUACCGAACCUGCCAUUUCGAUGGAACACUUUGAAAGUCCUGUGAGAAAAACAAUGAAGUUCCUACUAGGAGCAAGAGACAGAGGACUGCAAAGUCCUUUGGUGAUGAUUUUCUUGUGUAUCUCAUAG
rnacentral:rRNA from 1 species